rnacentral:rRNA from 1 species
GAUGAACGCUGGCGGCGUGCUUAACACAUGCAAGUCGAACGGAAAGGCUCCUGCUUGCAGGGGUACUCGAGUGGCGAACGGGUGAGUAACACGUGGGUGAUCUGCCCUGCACUUCGGGAUAAGCCUGGGAAACUGGGUCUAAUACCGGAUAGGACGAUGGUUUGGAUGCCAUUGUGGAAAGUUUUUCGGUGUGGGAUGAGCUCGCGGCCUAUCAGCUUGUUGGUGGGGUAAUGGCCUACCAAGGCGUCGACGGGUAGCCGGCCUGAGAGGGUGUACGGCCACAUUGGGACUGAGAUCCGGCCCAGACUCCUACGGGAGGCAGCAGUGGGGAAUAUUGCACAAUGGGCGCAAGCCUGAUGCAGCGACGCCGCGUGGGGGAUGACGGCCUUCGGGUUGUAAACUCCUUUCGCUAGGGACGAAGCGCAAGUGACGGUACCUGGAGAAGAAGCACCGGCUAACUACGUG